UACAGCCAUAUGACGUUGAAGCAACGGUUCUCAUCUGAUCACCGAAGUUAAGAAACGGCGAACCUAGUCAGUACUUAGAUGGGCGACCGCUCGGGAACACCAGGUGCUGUAAU